rnacentral:sRNA from 2 species
UCAUACUUCAUUGGGGAGUAGCCGCUAUUUACAUUUCGUAAAUAGGUGAUGAUCAACAUAAUUGUCCUAAAACGGGCAUGGUCAUCAUAGCAAAGAACCAAAUCAGCUGAAUUCAGCUUUCUUUUGUUUGUUGGCAAGACCUUUGAU